rnacentral:snoRNA from 1 species
AUUAAUAUGAUUAUAUUCAAUGAAAGUUCUACAAUAUUAGAUUUUGUCAGAAACUUAAUAGUUUACCAAAGACUCGAUUCUCAUGCCACAAACAGAGAG